UGCUAUCUAGCUCAGAGGUAGAGCAGCGAAUUUGUAUUCGUUGGUCGCGGGUUCGACUCUCGCGAUAGCAGCCA
rnacentral:tRNA from 1 species